ACCCGCUUGAACUUAAGCAUAUCAAUAAGCGGAGGAAAAGAAACCAACAGGGAUUGCCCCAGUAACGGCGAGUGAAGCGGCAACAGCUCAAAUUUGAAAUCUGGCCCCUAGGGCCCGAGUUGUAAUUUGCAGAGGAUGCUUUUGGCGAGGUGCCUUCCGAGUUCCCUGGAACGGGACGCCAUAGAGGGUGAGAGCCCCGUCUGGUUGGAUACCGAGCCUCUGUAAAGCUCCUUCGACGAGUCGAGUAGUUUGGGAAUGCUGCUCUAAAUGGGAGGUAUAUGUCUUCUAAAGCUAAAUACCGGCCAGAGACCGAUAGCGCACAAGUAGAGUGAUCGAAAGAUGAAAAGCACUUUGAAAAGAGGGUUAAAUAGUACGUGAAAUUGUUGAAAGGGAAGCGCUUAUGACCAGACUUGGACCCGGUGAAUCAUCCAGCGUUCUCGCUGGUGCACUUUGCCGGGCUCAGGCCAGCAUCAGUUUGCCUUGGGGGAUAAAGGCUUUGGGAAUGUGGCUCCUUCGGGAGUGUUAUAGCCCAUUGCAUAAUACCCUGGGGCGGACUGAGGUUCGCGCAUCUGCAAGGAUGCUGGCGUAAUGGUCAUCAGCGACCCGUCUUGAAACACGGACCAAGGAGUCGUCUUCGUAUGCGAGUGUUCGGGUGUAAAACCCCUACGCGUAAUGAAAGUGAACGCAGGUGAGAGCUUCGGCGCAUCAUCGACCGAUCCUGAUGUUCUCGGAUGGAUUUGAGUAAGAGCAUACGGGGCCGGACCCGAAAGAAGGUGAACUAUGCCUGUAUAGGGUGAAGCCAGAGGAAACUCUGGUGGAGGCUCGCAGCGGUUCUGACGUGCAAAUCGAUCGUCAAAUAUGGGCAUGGGGGCGAAAGACUAAUCGAACCUUCUAGUAGCUGGUUUCCGCCGAAGUUUCCCUCAGGAUGAAAAA
rnacentral:rRNA from 1 species